rnacentral:rRNA from 1 species
ACUCCUACGGGAGGCAGCAGUGGGAAUAUUGCACAAUGGGCGCAAGCCUGAUGCAGCCAUGCCGCGUGUAUGAAGAAGGCCUUCGGGUUGUAAAGUACUUUCAGCAGUGAGGAAGGUGGAUUGCGUUAAUAGCGUAUUCAUUUGACGUUAGCUGCAGAAGAAGCACCGGCUAACUCCGUGCCAGCAGCCGCGGUAAUACGUAGGUGGCAAGCGUUAUCCGGAAUUAUUGGGCGUAAAGCGCAUGUAGGCGGCUUUUAAGUCUGAUGUGAAAGCCAGUGGCUCAACCACUGAAUUGCAUUGGAUACUGGAAAGCUAGAAUCUUGGAGAGGUAAGUGGAAUUUCAUGUGUAGCGGUGGAAUGCGUAGAUAUAUGAAGGAACCCAAUGGCGAAGGCAGCUUACUGGACAAGUAUUGACGCUGAGAUGCGAAAGUGUGGUAGCAAACAGGAUUAGAUACCCUGGUAGGCUCUG